rnacentral:rRNA from 1 species
GUCUAUGGCCAUACCACUCUGAACAUGCCUAGUCUCAUCUGAUCUUGGAAGCUAAGCAGGGCUGUGCCUGGUUAGUACUGGAUGGGAGAUACUGACCCUCAAGGCU